rnacentral:rRNA from 1 species
GUGGAGCUUGCUCCAUGAUUCAGCGGCGGACGGGUGAGUAAUGCCUAGGAAUCUGCCUGGUAGUGGGGGACAACGUUUCGAAAGGAACGCUAAUACCGCAUACGUCCUACGGGAGAAAGUGGGGGAUCUUCGGACCUCACGCUAUCAGAUGAGCCUAGGUCGGAUUAGCUAGUUGGCGAGGUAAAGGCUCACCAAGGCGACGAUCCGUAACUGGUCUGAGAGGAUGAUCAGUCACACUGGAACUGAGACACGGUCCAGACUCCUACGGGAGGCAGCAGUGGGGAAUAUUGGACAAUGGGCGAAAGCCUGAUCCAGCCAUGCCGCGUGUGUGAAGAAGGUCUUCGGAUUGUAAAGCACUUUAAGUUGGGAGGAAGGGCAGUAAGUUAAUACCUUGCUGUUUUGACGUUACCGACAGAAUAAGCACCGGCUAACUUCGUGCCAGCAGCCGCGGUAAUACGAAGGGUGCAAGCGUUAAUCGGAAUUACUGGGCGUAAAGCGCGCGUAGGUGGUUCGUUAAGUUGGAUGUGAAAGCCCCGGGCUCAACCUGGGAACUGCAUCCAAAACUGGCGA